rnacentral:lncRNA from 1 species
UGUAAUGAUCCUGUAUGGGGGUGCGAGAGGCAAAAUAUCAACAGCUAAUAAAAUUACGUCCUUUAAUGGCACUUGCAAAACGAAAAAGAGACAGUACAUGUGAUUACGAUUACAUACAUGUAUAUAACAAAAUCAUAUACGGACUGAACAGUAUUUCCGGAAACGCGGAUUCAACCCCCUAUAUAUAUAUAUAUUACAUCCCCCCCGACAAAAGAAAAAUGUAAAUUUUGCUCAGGGUUGAAUUCGCUUUACAAUAUAUAUGCACCAACUCAUAUACAUCUCAAAACACAGCAUGAAAAAUUACAAUUAUCUGACGUUGCGAAAUCUCAACUUUUGAAAGUUAGUAGUUAAAUAUAUUUUUACAGAUCCGAAAUUGUUUCGUGAUACAUGUAUCAUUGAGUAAUAAAUUCAACAGAGCCCCUAACUCUUACAAUAUUGUGAAGAUGUCCUAUAAUGAUCACAUUUCAUAAGUUGCAAGUUUCAAAAAAAUAUAUCAACUAUCUCUCACAGAAUCAUGGUGCACCAAACCCAUUUACGCACACACACUCUCAUAAAAAAUAUAAAAUUGCUAACAGAUAAAACAUAUCAGAAAGAUACAAUUCACGGGGUUUAUUUAUGAAAUUAUUUCGAUAUCACUAACAUAGAUCCUAGAUAAUACACUCCUCAUAAAGUUCCAAAAGGACGUUAACUACAGAUUUCCGUCUUUAUACCAUGCAAAAAAAAAAAACAAAC